UGCAGUCGAGCGCCCCCGCAAGGGGGAGCGGCGGACGGGUGAGUAACGCGUGGGAAUUUUCCUCAAGGUACGGAACAACUCAGGGAAACUUGGGCUAAUACCGUAUGAUGUCUAGCGACCAAAGAUUUAUCGCCUUGGGAUAAGCCCGCGUCAGAUUAGGUAGUUGGUGGGGUAACGGCCUACCAAGCCUGCGAUCUGUAGCUGGUCUGAGAGGACGAUCAGCCACACUGGGACUGAGACACGGCCCACACUCCUACGGGAGGCAGCAGUGGGGAAUCUUGCGCAAUGGGCGAAAGCCUGACGCAGCCAUGCCGCGUGAAUGAUGAAGGUCUUAGGAUUGUAAAGUUCUUUCGCCCGUGACGAUGAUGACGGUAACGGGAGAAGAAGCCCCGGCUAACUUCGUGCCCCACC
rnacentral:rRNA from 1 species